UACGUAGGGUCCGAGCGUUGUCCGGAAUUAUUGGGCGUAAAGAGCUCGUAGGCGGUCUGUUGCGUCGGUUGUGAAAACCUGGGGCUCAACUCCAGGCCUGCAAUCGAUACGGGCAGACUAGAGUUCGGUAGGGGAGACUGGAAUUCCUGGUGUAGCGGUGAAAUGCGCAGAUAUCAGGAGGAACACCGGUGGCGAAGGCGGGUCUCUGGGCAUUAACUGACGCUGAGGAGCGAAAGCAUGGGGAGCGAACAGG
rnacentral:rRNA from 1 species